rnacentral:rRNA from 1 species
UGGGGAAUUUUGGACAAUGGGCGCAAGCCUGAUCCAGCCGUGCCGCGUGCAGGAUGAAGGCCUUCGGGUUGUAAACUGCUUUUGUACGGAACGAAAAGGUGCCUUCUAAUAAAGGGCGCUCAUGACGGUACCGUAAGAAUAAGCACCGGCUAACUACGUGCCAGCAGCCGCGGUAAUACGUAGGGUGCGAGCGUUAAUCGGAAUUACUGGGCGUAAAGCGUGCGCAGGCGGUUUUGUAAGACAGAGGUGAAAUCCCCGGGCUCAACCUGGGAACUGCCUUUGUGACUGCAAGGCUGGAGUGCGGCAGAGGGGGAUGGAAUUCCGCGUGUAGCAGUGAAAUGCGUAGAUAUGCGGAGGAACACCGAUGGCGAAGGCAAUCCCCUGGGCCUGCACUGACGCUCAUGCACGAAAGCGUGGGGAGCAAACA